rnacentral:rRNA from 1 species
UUUAUUUGAUAGUACCUUACUACAUGGAUACCUGUGGUAAUUCUAGAGCUAAUACAUGCUAAAAACCCCGACUUCAGGAAGGGGUGUAUUUAUUAGAUAAAAAACCAACGCCCUUUCGGGGCUCCUUGGUGAAUCAUAAUAACUUAACGAAUCGCAUGGCCUUGCGCCGGCGAUGGUUCAUUCAAAUUUCUGCCCUAUCAACUUUCGAUGGUAGGAUAGUGGCCUACCAUGGUGGCAACGGGUAACGGGGAAUUAGGGUUCGAUUCCGGAGAGGGAGCCUGAGAAACGGCUACCACAUCCAAGGAAGGCAGCAGGCGCGCAAAUUACCCAAUCCCGAUACGGGGAGGUAGUGACAAUAAAUACUGAUACGGGGCUCUUUUGGGUCUCGUAAUUGGAAUGAGAACAAUUUAAAUCCCUUAACGAGGAACAAUUGGAGGGCAAGUCUGGUGCCAGCAGCCGCGGUAAUUCCAGCUCCAAUAGCGUAUAUUAAAGUUGUUGCAGUUAAAAAGCUCGUAGUUGAACCUUGGGUCUGGCUGGCCGGUCCGCCUCACCGCGAGUACUGGUCCGGCUGGACCUUUCCUUCUGGGGAACCUCAUGGCCUUCACUGGCUGUGGGGGGAACCAGGACUUUUACUGUGAAAAAAUUAGAGUGUUCAAAGCAGGCCUUUGCUCGAAUACAUUAGCAUGGAAUAAUAGAAUAGGACGUGUGGUUCUAUUUUGUUGGUUUCUAGGACCGCCGUAAUGAUUAAUAGGGAUAGUCGGGGGCGUCAGUAUUCAGCUGUCAGAGGUGAAAUUCUUGGAUUUGCUGAAGACUAACUACUGCGAAAGCAUUCGCCAAGGAUGUUUUCAUUAAUCAGGGAACGAAAGUUAGGGGAUCGAAGACGAUCAGAUACCGUCGUAGUCUUAACCAUAAACUAUGCCGACUAGGGAUCGGACGGGAUUCUAUAAUGACCCGUUCGGCACCUUAC